rnacentral:tRNA from 1 species
GCCGAAGUGGUGGAAUGGCAUACACGCCAGUCUCAAAAACUGGUGAGGGCAACCUCGUGUGGGUUCGACUCCCACCUUCGGCACCA